GAUCCUGGCUCAGGAUGAACGCUGGCGGCGUGCUUAACACAUGCAAGUCGAACGGGAAACCGUUUUAUUGAAGCUUCGGCAGAUUUUAGCUGGUUUCUAGUGGCGGACGGGUGAGUAACGCGUGGGUAACCUGCCUUAUACAGGGGGGAUAACGAACCAGAAAUGGUUGCUAAUACCGCAUAAGCGCACAGGACCGCAUGGUCCGGUGUGAAAAACUCCGGUGUAUAAGAUGGACCCGCGUUGGAUUAGCUAGUUGG
rnacentral:rRNA from 1 species